GAGGUGUUAGUAAAUAAAUUACAUAGCCUUGUCAAGACUAAAUUAUAGGUUAACAGCCCUAUACACCUCA
rnacentral:tRNA from 1 species